rnacentral:tRNA from 1 species
GUGAGUAUAGCUCAGCGGUAGAGUGUUUGCCUAGCAUGCAUGAGGCCCUGGGUUCAAUCCUCAGCACUACA